rnacentral:lncRNA from 1 species
AUGCCGAACCCUGCCGUGUGUCUGGAGGCGCUGUCGGCUCUGUCCGGCUGCUGCGUCCAGUCGACGGGCGGACCGUCCCAGCUCAGCCCGCAGGACUUCGUCAACGUCGUGGCCCUGAAGGAGUUCUACAGGCAGGAGGGGCUCCGGCAGCUGGACUACCCGAGUCUGGGCAGCCUCUGCCUGGACGACAUGUACAGCUCCCCGCCGGCGCUGACGGCCGCCGCCGCGGCCUCCGGGCCCCGGGUGACCAUCAACCCCGCGGACUUCUUCCACGCUGAGUACAACUACGACUUCACCCGCAUCCAGGACGGUGACAAGCAGUUCCUGCGUGGUAAUGAGCCGUACAUCCGUCCCUGUGGCUGGGACCGCGCCGCCCUGCGGGUCCUGCAGAAGUACGACGAUGGCAACGCGUGGCUCGGGACGGGUCAGGACGCCUGGCCCGUCUCCUACCACGGCCAUAACAUGGACGGUUCCGUCAUCCUGAACCACAGCGGCAAACCCAGCGACGAGCCCCAGUUCGGCCAAGUGGCCGCCGCCUCCCUGCUGGCCGGCGAGACGAGGGGCAGGGGCGUGUACUCCACCCCGGACAUCAAGGAGGCGGAGAAGUACUGCAAGGUGUUCGAGUCCAAAGUGGAUGGGAAGAAGUACAAAGUGGUCCUUCAGAACCGCAUCAAGCCACAGAACAGAAAGAAGUGUCAGCGGGAGAAUGUGUGGCUGGUCUACGUCCCAGAGAACAGCACCGACAUCCAGGCCCGGGCCGUGGUGCAGGAGUCCAUCCGUCCCUACGGGCUGCUGCUGAAACAGGUAGAACCCAGCAAGGAAGAAGAAAGAGAGGCUGACGAACGCGGGGAGGACGCAGAUCCACGGGCUCCAGCAUGGCCGCCUCGGUGUGCCGCCGGCAGACUCCCGGUCCGCUCCUCAGGACAGGUUAAGGGUAGGGACAGGUUACUUAGUGGUUCACAGCCUGGGGAGCUGGUCUCAUGGCACACAGCUUUUCUACCUAUUUCCAACGCCUCACCGGUCACGCGUAGGUGAAUUCCUCUGCUGACACAAACGGCGCCUGAGCAGCGCCCGGUGCAGAAAUACAGCCCGGCGUCGUCCUGCUCCACGUUCAGGACGUGCAGCCUGACGGGGCCACUGUCCAAGUCGCCCUGGACGCUGAAGCGGCUCAUGGGGGCAGCGGGGCCAUCGACGGUGUGGGUGUUCAUGUGACUGCGUCUAUGCGUCAGCAGAGGGAGCAGCUGGUCCGCACGCAGCAGGUACCAGGUGACCUCAGACCUGGACGUCAGGUUGCAGGAGAUCGUCGCAUUCUGGCCCACCGGGACCGAGAGGAGAACAGGCAGGGCUGCGCACAGGUGGUGCACGGGGACACCUGAGCAGCGGGAGGAGAGAACAGUGGUUGAGUUGGUAAAAUAACUAACCUUAGCUGUAACUGAGCCCGAGAGAAGCUUCAUCUGAGGUUUAUCAGGAAAAUGUUGUUUAGAUUUCCACAAGCUAGAUUCUGCACGGGUCCCAGCGUCCGCUCUCAGCCACACCUGUUGAUUUCUACCCAAGCAUUUAUCCGAUUGGCCCAGUAAUGAGAAGCUUUAGUGUCAGCUCAUCCCUUGAGCUCGUCCAGUCAUUAGAUUUCCAUAUGACAGAGCGCCAGGUGUUCAGCCUCCCACCUGAGCGGCCUUGAGUUUAGGCUCAGAACAGAUGAGACCUGAGUAACGGACCGGGUUAGCAACAAGCAAACAACAAACAAACACGCAGCUUUAAACGCAUGUUUAUGACAACAAACAAAGACGAACUUACAAAAUAAACAGAAGAUCCGCGUGAGACCUGCCA